rnacentral:rRNA from 1 species
UACAGAGGUGGCAAGCGUUGUUCGGAAUUACUGGGCGUAAAGGGCGCGUAGGCGGCCAUCUAAGUCAGACGUGAAAUCCCCCGGCUUAACCUGGGAACUGCGUCUGAUACUGGACGGCUUGAGUAUGGGAGAGGGAUGUAGAGUUCCAGGUGUAGCGGUGAAAUGCGUAGAUAUCUGGAGGAAUACCGGUGGCGAAGGCGGCAUCCUGGACCAUUACUGACGCUGAGGCGCGAAAGCUAGGGGAGCAAACGGG